GAUGAACGCUAGCGGCAGGCUUAACACAUGCAAGUCGAGGGCAGCGCGAUGUAGCAAUACAUUGGCGGCGACCGGCGCACGGGUGCGUAACACGUAUGGAACUUACCCUUUACUGGGAGAUAGCCCGGAGAAAUCCGGAUUAAUAUCCCAUAAUAAACGAAGUGGCAUCACUUUGUUUUGAAAGCUCCGGCGGUAAAGGAUGGCCAUGCGCACGAUUAGCUAGUAGGUGAGGUAACGGCUCACCUAGGCUACGAUCGUUAGGGGGCCUGAGAGGGUUAUCCCCCACACUGGUACUGAGACACGGACCAGACU
rnacentral:rRNA from 1 species